AACCAUAGAAACCUGCGGAGUACCUGCGGAGGGAUCAUUAAAAAGAGUGUGUACCCCCCUGUAAAAUGGGUGGGUUACCUCCCGUCCUUUGUUGACCUCUUAGGAGGUUAUUUUGAACUUUUCUGCUUCGGUGGGGUUAAACCUACCGGAACACCCUCAAAUUCUGAUCAUUUAAAAAUUGUUCAGUCCGAUUUUUGUUAAUAAAAACAAAAAACUUUCAACAAUGGAUCUCAGAUCGGA
rnacentral:misc_RNA from 1 species